GUGACACCGGCCAAUCUUGGCACCUUACCGAACUACUUCGUUCCUGUAGUAGCACCGAGCAAGCGAGCGUGGGAGACAGCAGCGGCGACCUACGUACACCAGAGAGGAGAUGGAUAUGGACGCCAAGUAUGCUGAUCUGCGGCGCGCGGCGGAGGAAACGGCGGUGGUGGACGCGCACGCGCACGACCUCGUCGCCGCUGGUUCCACCCUGCCCUUCAUCGGCUGCUUCUCCGAGGCCGACGGCGACGCGCUCGCCUUGGCCCCCCACUCCCUCCCUUUCAAGCGAAGCCUUAGGGACAUUGCUGCAUUGUACGAUUGUGAUCCCUCACUUGAGAAGGUGGAGGAGUUCAGAAGGGCUCAAGGCCUGUCAUCUAUCACUUCAAAAUGCUUCCAAGCUGCCAAUAUAUCUGCGCUUGUUGUAGAUGAUGUCUCCACAUUGGACAAAACCCUUGAACUGGAAUCUCACAAGGCAUUUGCUCCCAAGGUUUACAGAGUUGUCGGAAUCGAGACCCUGGCGGAAACAAUUAUUAAUGAGGAGUCAGUUGUUGGAUCAAGCUGGACACUGGAUUCAUUCACUGAAGCAUUUGUGGCGAAGCUCAAAUCAGUUGCCAACAAAAUUGUUGGAUUGAAAAGCAUGGCUGCACAUAGAAGUGGCUUAGAGAUUGAUCCAAGUGUUAGCAAGGUGGAUGCAGAGGAUGGUCUUCGGAAGGAGCUAGCAACUCGGAGGCCUCUUCGGAUUACAAACAAAAACCUGUUUGACUAUAUAUUUAUUCAUAGUCUUGAAAUUGCUGUGGAGUUUCAUUUGCCAAUGCAGAUUCAUACAGGGUUUGGAGACAGGGAACUGGGCUUACGACAUUGCACCCCUUUUCAUCUGCGUGCUGUUCUUGAAGACAAAAGAUUUGUCAAGUGCCAAAUAGUUCUUCUAAAUGCUUCGUAUCCAUUUUCGAGGGAAGGAUCCUAUCUUGCAUCUGUUUACUCCCAGGUCUACCUUGAUUUUGGCUUUGCAUUUCCAAAACUUAGUGUUCAAGGAAUAACAUCAUCACUUAAAGAGCUCCUGGAGCGAGCUCCCAUAAAGAAGGUCAUGUUCAGCACAGACGGAUAUGCUUUUCCGGAGACAUACUAUCUAGGUGCAAAAUGGGCACGUGAUGUCGUUUACCGUGUCCUCUCAGCUGCAUGUGAAGAUGGUGAUCUUACCAUUCAGGAAGCUAUAGAAGCAGUUGAGGACAUCUUCAGAAGAAAUGCACUGCAUCUGUACAAGUUGAAUGUCUUCCAUGAAAAAACUACCAGUAUUGAUGACAAUACCAUAUCAUCGUCGUCUUGUCUCGGGAAAGAUGAUGUGAUCCUUGUUCGAAUGGUCUGGAAUGAUGCUUCAGGUCAACAUAGAUGCCGUGCCUUGCCAGCCGAGAGAUUUUACGGCAUUGCACGGAACAAGGGUGUUGGUCUAGGUAUUGCAGCAGUGGGGUUUACUUCCUUUAGAGAUGCCCCAGCAGUUGGGACAAACCUUACUUGUGCCGGAGAGGAAAUCAGGCUUGUGGCAGAUAUGUCAACACUUUUGAGGAUCCCAUGGUCAAGAAACGAAGAAAUGGUGAUGGUUGACAUGCUAACCGGUUCCGGAGAAGCCUCCGAAUACUGUCCUAGAAAUGCUUUAAGAAAAGUGACAAAAGUUCUGCUAGAUGAAUUCAAUGUGACAGUCAAGGCAGGUUUUGAGAAUGAAUUUUAUCUGCUCAGAAAAUCAUUCAGCGAGGGGCAUGAACAUUGGGUUCCGUAUGAUAAUAGCAGUUACUGCUCGACUUCAGCAUUUGAUGGUGCAUCAUUUAUGCUGAAAGAAGCACAUUCUUGUCUUAAAGCUGCAGGCAUUGUGGUUGAGCAGAUGCAUGCUGAAGGUGGUAAUGGGCAGUUCGAGAUAGCCUUAAAGUAUGUGUUGUGCACUCUUGCUGCUGAUAAUCAGAUAUAUGCCCGAGAAAUUAUUAAAUCCAUUGCUCGAAAACACGGGGUGAUAGCAACAUUUCUACCAAAUAUGAUGCAAUGUUUUCAUUGGCCCAGACCAGACCUAAAUGAACUUGGAUCCGGUUGUCAUGUGCACCUGAGCUUAUGGAAGAAUGACCAAAAUGUUUUCAUGGGCUCAAAUAAAUAUAAUUACCAUGGGAUGUCAAAUACCGGUGAACGGUUCCUUGCUGGAGUUUAUCAUCAUCUUCCAUCGAUACUGGCAUUUACUGCCCCUCACCCACACAGCUACGACCGAAUUCAGCCAAACACAUUCACUGGAGCAUAUCUUUGCUGGGGGAAAGAGAACCGGGAGGCUCCAUUGAGGACCUCCUGCCCACCUGGCGUGCCUCCUGAUUUUGUCAGCAACUUCGAGAUUAGGUCGUUCGACGGGUGCGCGAACCCUCACCUAGGCCUCGCCGCCAUUGUCAAUGCCGGGAUCGACGGGCUAAGGAGAGGCCUCAAGUUGCCUCCACCAACUGAACUGAACCCUGCAGAUUGCGCUUCACACGAGAGGCUACCGCAUGACUUGCUUGGAUCUGUGGAGGCACUUGCUGCGGACAAGAUUUUUCAUGAACUGAUGGGUGACAAACUUGUGACUUCUGUUAUAGCUAUGCGAAAGGCCGAGAUCGAGCACUACGCUAAGAACCCAGGGGCAGUCCACCAUCUCAUUCACCGUUACUAGCAGUAGUUGCAGGCCGAGACCGAGCACUCUUGCUUGAUGAUCGAUCGGGUUGAAAACAUUUUUCAUCGGUGUUUGUUCAGUGGAAGGAGACGUUUCCAUGGUCUAUGAUGCGCAUAUGAUGACUUUGUGGAUCUCAAGAUGUUGUGCUCGCUCAGUAUCUCAGAGAUGCUCCUGGGGGUAGGGUGUGUGUGUUCAUAGGGGCGAGUGCAUGUGAGCAUCAACAUUUGUACCGUGUUUUGAAAAGGACGUCAAUAAGGACUGAACGUUCGGUCUGGGGGCCUCCCAGACCGAAAGAGGAGUUCGGUACGACAGGCAGCUCCCUACGAACGAAAUCGUUCGGGAGGAGAGGCCUCCCAGCCCGAACGCUCCUUCCCGUCCUUGGUCUUUUCUCUGUACAAAAAAAGCCCAUAAAAACAAAAAAGCCCUACAGGCCUUUCCUCUGUACAAAAAAAGCCCAUAAGAACUAAAAAGCUCGGUUGUUGUUGUGACAAAAUAGACAUUGUUCAUUUGCACGACAAAAAAUGCCAUGGUCUUUUGCAAUGCUAUGAAAAAGGUUGACAUGCU